rnacentral:tRNA from 1 species
UAGGGCUAUACGGACUCGAACCGUAGACCUUCUCGGUAAAACAGAUCAAACUUAUU